rnacentral:lncRNA from 1 species
AGUGUAUUGUUUUUGACAUGGUUAACUGAGGGGACAGGAAUGGCACACAAUUCAGCAAAUUUUAUUUUUUCUAUGAUAUAUAUCACUGAGAUAACACGGUGAGUAGUCAUCUCUACUGUUUUUUGUUUGUUGAUUUUUUUGAAUCAGAGAUCAAGAUUAAAUACUUUUGGAAAAGGCAAGUGAAAUGCUACUUUUUUAAAACUUUACCAGCAUUCUCUUAACCGAAUGUAAUUUACUUCCUUUUCUGCCUUAUGAAAACUUCUACUUUGUCUCACCUAUAAAAUUUCUCAGCAUUUUUCUUCAAACUGGGAGGCCCUUGUAAUUUGAAUAUUAAAAUGUUUGUUGCCUUUUUUCUUGUUGCUCAAAUUUAUCCUGGCUCAUGGGUCAAUGUAUUCCUUACUCAGCUGUUGUGCUCAUUUAUCUCACUAAUUAGCUAGCUCUCUCCUGGAAGAGAGCUCCUGGAGUUCCCAUUGUGGCUCAGCGGUAAUGAUCCUGACUAGUAUCUAUGAGGAUGCAGGUUUGAUCCCUGGCCUUGAUCACUGGGUUAAGGAUCUGGCAUUGGUGUUUCCAUGAGCUGCAUGGUUUGGAUCUGGCAUUGCUGUGGCUGUGGUAUAGGUCAUCAACUACAGCUUCAAUUUGAGCUGAGAAGUUCCAUAUGCCAAAGAUGUGGCCCUCAAAAAAGCAAAAAAUAAAAAUAAAAAAAAGAGAGAGUUCCUUGCUUUUUCUUGGCUGAUAUCUGUCUGUGUUGGGAAGCUCUGCACCGUCUUUUAUUCCUAGAGCUUCUUUUUCCAUCCCACCUUGCUUUGAUUAUUCAGACUUUUUCUAAGACUGAAAGAGAAAGGCUGAUAAUAUAUCUCUUUCUCUCAAGGCUGGCUCUAAUCCUGAGACAAUUUCUUUCUAACUGGGAGAAAAGUUACCUUAGCAACUAAGCAACUAAUUAACUCAAUUAAAUUUCCCCCUCCUCCUUUAUCAAUAUUCAAUUAACAUUAAAUCGCUUCUUUGCUAUGCUCUGUAGUUUUAUAACUCUAUGAGCAAAUAGCUGAAGUGGACCAAGGAUUGCAGGGGGCAGGAUGAGGAAUGUCUCAGAGGGGCCAAAAUGUUCAGGUGAGGACUCAGAACCUGAAGGCAACACCUUCAUUCCCCAACUUCCCUUAGCACAUUUUAAGAUCUUUGGAUGCAAUUUAGAUGCAGCUGUUGGGAAUAGAAGGGGCAGGAACAGAACUCAGAAGUGACCAAGAUUGUUUCUAGCACUCAGUAGAAUGGCAUUCAGAAGCAGAAAUAGGUUGAUGUAAAGAAAAACAAAUUCCCAUUGUGGUGCAGCAGAAACAAAUCCAGCUAGUAUCCAUGAGGAUUCGGGUUUGAUCCCUGGCCUCACUCAGUGGGUAGGGGAUCCAGCAUUGUCAUGAACUGUGGUGUAGCUUGCAGACACAACUCGGAUCCCACCUGGCUGUGGCUGUGGCUGUGGCUGGCAGCUAUAGCUCUGAUUCCAACCCCUAGCCUGGGAACUUCCAUAUGCUGUGGGUGCGGCCUUAAAAUAAUUAAAAAAUGAAAAAUAAUGGAGGGGAAAUGAAGCAAAUCCUAGCAAAUUUAAAAACUGUUUUUACUAUGAAAGUCAAGUAGUAAAAGAUGGAUUUUCCCUAAAAGAAUCAAAGUAGAAAUGAGUUGGAUUCUAACAUAUUCUGGAAGGUUGGUUUGGAAAUCCACAUAUUUUCCUCACCUUCUCCAAAUGCGGAAACAUUGCUCAGCCAUGAUUGAAUUUGCUUCCUUAACUUCAUUAUCACCAGCCUUAGACAAUUUCUACAUUCUGAACAUGACAUAUACUUCUUAUCUACAUCAUCCUUUCUAGGAGUGAGUGGGAAUAAGAAUAAAUGCAUUUAUUCUCUUCUGUCAAAUUAAGCCUUUAGACGAAAUGUGUGAAUUGAUACAUAAACAUGCAAAAUCAUCUCAUUGACCCUUGUUAGGUGCUUAAUAUCUGUGUACUGAGUACUUCAAUGAUCUCAUUAGGAAUGCUUUAGGAAGUUAAUACUGUAGCCCCAUUAUGCAAAUGAGGGUAUUAAGGCAUUCAAAUAUAUGUACCUGUGUUAAAGGCACACACCAAGUUAGCAAAGAUCUGGGAUUUGGAUCCAGAUCAGUUGAAUGCCAAAGAUAAUUUUUUCAGUUACUAUCCACGCUAUCCACAUGAGCAGAGGAGAGAAAUGAUAUUCCUACUUAAGGACAUACUGUUUAAUGCCCUGUCUAGAGCAACUCUGACCUUGACAAGUUAUCAGAUAAAGAGGAUAUUUCUAGAGGUACAAGUCAAGUGUGUAUUGAAGAGUCUGGUCCUAAAAUUUUAAGUGGUGAGAUUAUUAUAUAAAACAUUUGUACAAAUUGUUUAUGUGCAGCUAACCCUGGGACUCAGGGCUACUGAUUUUAACAAAUAAAAUGACUAGGUGACCAUUUACUUUAAAUUUCAGAUAAACAACAAAAAAUGCUUAGUAUAAAGACAUUCUUUGCACUAUUUGGGAUAUACUUAUACUAAAAAAAUUUAUUAAUUAUCUGAAAUUCAAAUUUUACUAGAUGUUCAGAAUCUUAUCAGGCAAUCUUACAGGUCUAGGUUCUGUCACUGCUAAGUAUGUGAUUAUUUGUCACUGUUCUGCCUAAUACUGAGCCCUACUACAGUGGCUAAGACCAGAAAAAAAAUCACACAGACUCACACGUGCUGCUCCUAGCAUGUACAUCAUGAUCCAGAGCAGUGCUUGGGAGGAUAGUCCAUGUGGGAAUUUGGCCUUGGACUAGUCUUUUCCAGCACCUCCUUUCUCCUACCUGGAGCUCCUGACUGAAGAGUCACACCUUGGGAUCCAUGCUUGAUUCUCCUGCUCCUUUUCUCUCAUCUGUUUUUCCCCCUGAUCCCAAACAUGCCAGUCAUUGCCUUCACAUUCAGUACCUAGGCACACAUGAGUCUGGAGUUGGAAUUUAGGGCUAGAAAGACUCCUGGAGAUUGUUUCACAAAUGAGGAAACUGAGGACCUUAUAG